AGUAAAGUACUGAUGUAUGAAUCCAUCCUAGGAGAUCCACACAGACUUCAGUUCAAAGCUAACUCCUUGGGAAGGGCUUGUUUUGAGGAGAUACCAACUGGAUUUUAGGAAGGCUCCCCCUUUUUCAAGAGCAACUGGGUCCCUGUGAGGUCACAGAAGGAGAUGUCACUUAGCAGUCUCUCCAUACCUAUCUUCAAAAGACUCAGAUGAUCAAAGGCUUGUGUGAACACACUGGGACGAGACAUGACAUCCAGUAAAUUCUCAUAAAUCUGCAUCAGAACAGCGAAGGAACACCCUGAAAAAGGGGGCAGGAUCCCUGAGCUGCUGUGAACAGUAUUAUACAUCGGACUAUAAAAUCCUGGACAUUCUCAGCACCUCUAGGCACGAGCAAAAGCCAACACAGAGUAUGAUGAAGGGAUGGUGUAACUUAACCUUUGCAGCAGGGAGCACAGACACGGUGUAUGGGUGUGUACGAUGGGACCCUCCAUCACCAGUGACUUCCAGGGCAGCAGCAGGACAGCAGGGAGACCUGACUGGGAGCUGCGAGCAACCAGUGGGUAAAGGACACUGGGGCUGUACUCGCUGGUGGCUGGCACUGCCACCUCACACAGAAUUCCACAGCUUUUAGAGCCUGGAGCCGCUCCGCAGUCCAAGAGCCGAGAGGAGCAGAGGCAUCACCCACGACCGGGCAGCACAGCCCCCAGGCGGGCUCAGGUUUACAUGCGCUCACAACAGCAAAAUUUGGAACAAAAACAGUAUGAAAGAAAUGGGAGAGAAAAUUCUGAAGGAAGCAGGCCAUGAGCAGCACACCUCACUGAUCCUGAGGGGACAGGCAGGAUGGAUCAUCCCCACGGAAAAGGCAGCAGUCGAUUUUCUAAAGAAAAGGAAAAAUAAAGUUAUGUUUGAGCUUUCUGUGUAA